UUUUUUUUUUUUUUUUUGCAUACUAUCUGCUCUAGAACAGCAAGGUCCUUAGGUCACUGCUCUGAGAAGGAUGGAGGAGGAAUUUAACGCCUAGUGAUCCAGGAGGAGGAAAUGAGGUCAUGGGGUAUAUGUGCUCUUUUUCAUAUUCCAUGAAAAAAUGCACGACUCCCAGGUUUGUCCCACUGACUAAUCAGAAACUAUGGGAAGAUAGGAAACAUAUUUCCCAUCCAGAUCUAUAGGCAAAGACCCCUCCAAAAGAAAAGAACACACCAUGCUUUGUUUGACUUCAUCCCUUGUGCAAAAUCAUGAUUCAGAAGGCUUUAACAGUACAAAGGUUUAUUUAUAAAAGAGUUUGGAUUGUUCUUUAGGGGUUUUUUGGCAAACAUUAAAAUCCUUUCAUAACUCAAAACACUGUCAGUGCCUGGUACUUUGAAUUCUCCUUUCCCACAUAAGCAGUAAAAGCCAAUUUCUUACUGGGACAAAUCCACCAUAGGCCCCAGCUGCCCUGUUUAUAAGUACUCAAAUCUCCACCACCACUGCCACUUAACCCUUUCCUUUUGAUGUCUUUUUUUGUUUUCCCACAAAAUUCAAGAGCCCAUGAAAGCUCACUGCCUCAGCCUUUCAUCUGUGGGCUCCCCGUGCCCUCUGUUGGGAUUCAAAGACAGUCACAUCCUGCCCCUUUACCUCUCCACACUCCAUCCCUGCUCCCCACAGCACCAUGUCACCAUUCUGCACCACGGUGAGUGCCCUCAGCCUCCCAACACCAUCCCUGCUCCCCACAGCACCAUGUCACCAUUCUGCACCACGGUGAGUGCCCUCAGCCUCCCGACACCAUCCCUGCUCCCCACAGCAUCACUCUGCUGCCCGAGGGGUGAGCCCUCCUCCUGCUCCCUAAGCCCAAACCCCGUGUUCUCUUCCCUCCCUUCUCUUCCAGCAUCGAGCCUUCUCUUUUAACUCUACUCCUGCUCAA
rnacentral:lncRNA from 1 species